rnacentral:lncRNA from 1 species
GGGUGUAACCAUUGUUUUGCAUGAAAUUCGUAGGAGUUUUCACCCAUUACUUCUAGUGUUGUUCCUUGUUGUUUUAAGUGUUUUUAAGCUGUUUUGGAGUGUUUUAGUGUGUUUGGACAUAAAAAUCCGAAAAUCUCAUAAAAAUUUGAAAAAUUGUUUUUAAAAAAAACCAAAAAGAGUUAUUUUUGUGUGUUUAUUUGUGUCUUAGGGUACCUUCCAAUACAAUGAUGAGGAUUUGGUUUUUAAUUACAUGACUGUUAAAGAGAGUUAUAAACAUGGAUGAAAGUUUAAUUUACUUUGGUGUAUGCUUGGUUGUGGUUAUAAUUUAUGAAUUCAAAUGAACUCAAAUGAACGCUACAACCUUGUGAGACUUGAGCCUAAUCGUUUAUUUGGAGAGUUAAUAAUCUGUGCACCAUUGUGUUCUAAAGUCGUUGCAUGAUCUUAUUAUUCUUUGCUUAGUUGCUACUUAGAAGGCGUUUCAUCAUUUAGUUCCAAAUGCUAGAACUCAUGCCUAUUUCAUUCAAAGCAUGCUAUUGAUUUGCAUAACACAUAUUCAAGAUGAAGUUGUGUAGUGACCACCAAAGCCACAUUGCCAUGCCUUUAUUUCAUUAUGUGUUUAAGUUUAACCCCGUUGAGCCUUGUUAAGCCUAUGUUCUUUGUUAGCCCACACUAUCCUUAUCUAGCCUAAUUUUAGGACCAUCCAUACCCUUAUUCUUGAAGCAUAGUAAAGCAUGACUUAAAAUGAACUCCUUUUUUAUCAAUGUAUUACAGAAAGCUAGUGUGGGGGAAGUGAUUCUUGUGUGCGUGUGUGUGCCAAAGUCCUUAAUAAGGCACGGGUAGAAAAGAAAAAAAAAGAGUGAAAAGAAAAAAGAAUUGAAAAGAGUAUGAAAAAAAGCUCUAAAGUGUUGUUUGUUAAAAAAGGCUCCAACACAUUGAAUUCGGCCCUAAGUGUUGCAUGAAUCUUCCCUUUGUAUUUGAAAGUUGAUUCUGCAUUCUAAAGUGAAUUCCAAGUGUCUAUUUCAUUGCUUUGCUUGCUAUCGCUUUAAGAACGUUUAUUAUUCCUAUCCUUUCUUUAUUAGCCAUUACCCCCAAGCCUUGUUACAACCCUUGACCUCAAUCUUGAGUGUUGUGUGUUUCAAUUUGUGGAGUUCGAAAUUGGUAUGAGCAUAUGGUGUCAC